rnacentral:rRNA from 1 species
AACGAACGCUGGCGGCAGGCCUAACACAUGCAAGUCGAGCGCCCUUUCGGGGGAGCGGCGGACGGGUGAGUAACGCGUGGGAAUAUGCCCUUCUCUACGGAAUAGCCUCGGGAAACUGAGAGUAAUACCGUAUACGCCCUUUGGGGGAAAGAUUUAUCGGGGAAGGAUUAGCCCGCGUUGGAUUAGGUAGUUGGUGGGGUAAUGGCCUACCAAGCCGACGAUCCAUAGCUGGUUUGAGAGGAUGAUCAGCCACACUGGGACUGAGACACGGCCCAGACUCCUACGGGAGGCAGCAGUGGGGAAUCUUAGACAAUGGGGGCAACCCUGAUCUAGCCAUGCCGCGGGAGUGAUGAAGGCCUUAGGGUUGUAAAGCUCUUUCAGCUGGGAAGAUAAUGACGGUACCAGCAGAAGAAGCCCCGGCUAACUCCGU